rnacentral:rRNA from 1 species
UACGAAGGGGGGCUAGCGUUGUUCGGAUUUACUGGGCGUAAAGGGCGCGCAGGCGGCUCAUUUUGUCAGGCGUGAAAGCCCCGGGCUUAACCUGGGAACUGCGUUUGAUACGGAUGGGCUAGAGUUCGGGAGAGGAGAGUGGAAUUCCCAGUGUAGAGGUGAAAUUCGUAGAUAUUGGGAAGAACACCGGUGGCGAAGGCGGCUCUCUGGACCGAUACUGACGCUGAGGCGCGAAAGCGUGGGGAGCAAACAGG